GUCCAUGGCUCAAGAAAUGAAACGCUAGCGGCAGGGCCUAACACAUGCAAGUCGAGGGGUAACAGAGAGAAGCUUGCUUUUCUGCUGACGACCGGCGCACGGGUGCGUAACGCGUAUACAAUCUGCCUUAUACAGAGGGAUAGCCUUUAGAAAUGAAGAUUAAUACCUUAUAGUCUAUUUUUAUAGCAUUAUAUAAAUAGUAAAGCUUCGGUGGUAUAAGAUGAGUAUGCGUCCUAUUAGUUAGUUGGUAAGGUAACGGCUUACCAAGACAACGAUAGGUAGGGGCCCUGAGAGGGGGAUCCCCCACACUGGUACUGAGACACGGACCAGACUCCUACGGGAGGCAGCAGUGAGGAAUAUUGGACAAUGGAGGCAACUCUGAUCCAGCCAUGCCGCGUGCAGGAUGACGGCCCUAUGGGUUGUAAACUGCUUUUAUAUAGGAAGAAACCUUUUCACGUGUGAGAAGCUGACGGUACUAUAAGAAUAAGGACCGGCUAACUCCGUG
rnacentral:rRNA from 1 species